CUCAUUCCAGCUUUGUUAGUCUUGUAAUUAGUAAAAAAGUUUUUCCAUCAUGUUGGCAGAGUUGCUAGUUUUAAUGUGAGCUUUUCUUUGCCUUUAGGGGAGUUGGGAGUGAAUACAUCAGAGUGUGCUAUGCAGAAGACAUUUGAAAUGGAGUUCCUUGAGUUUUCAAACAUUCACAUCCUUUAUCUCAUAUGAGAAUGUAAGGGAAAUUUGGAAGAACUUGAGCAGCAUUCACUUUGCACAAAUUGCAGGAUAUCAGAAACAACGGGGGCAUCUGCAUUCCUUUUACAAUCCACCUUCCAGUGGGAUGAUAAACUCAAGGACCAAACAAUCACAACAGGCCCACUUGAGCUGGAGAAACAAUGGCCUGAGCCAGUCCUAUGCCUCAGUGCGAAACAACAAUGCAGAACUCUUGACGAAUUCUGGCGUCGCGAGUGGAAUCUUGCAGUUCAACAUGUCUGCUGAACAGAAGUUGGAAAAAGAAAAGAUCAUCUUGUAAACAAUUAAUUAAUGUUUGUCAUGAAUUAUCAUUUUUACUUCCUUCUCAAGAGGCUCAAAGGGAAUAAAAAGGCAUUUUUGCAGGUGGUGGCAUUCAAACUAAGGGCAAUCAAAGGUUUGAGAGCUGAGGCACAGCACUCUGAGUCUCUAAGGGUGAAUGGUGCUAGGAUUAGAGCACAGCAGGGGGUUGAGGGCUUCAGGUGUGAAGCUUAAUGUUUGUGAUCAGCAAAAAAAGUCUUGAAUUUAUCUAAACUGCUCUUCUGCUAACAGUACUUCUAGCACAUAAAUGUUCUGAAACUGACAAGUGUUCUCAUUGCUCUUCUAAUGCAAACAUGAUCUGCAUUUGAAAGAUGCAACCCUUUUGCCUAAUUUAGAAUGUGCAUCACAAAGAGCGUUAGAUCAUGACCCCACAAAGACACACACACACACACACACACACACACACACUCCAUGCUGCCUGCAUAUACGCACAUGCAAACUGUCUCUUUCUGGCCUGGAUCUUCUCUGAAGCUCCCAGCAGGGAUCCUGCAGGAUUGUUUUUCUCUAGAUUCCUAAAUCAGAGGUUGAGAACUAGGGGCCUCAAUAGCCAUCUGACCAGCGGAUUCCUCUGAUCUUCUACAUGAAUAAUUUCUUUUAAUUUAGUUUGGAUAAUAGUCUAGAAUUUAUCAUGUUGCAUUUUUCAUUUGCAAUCUUCCCUCUGCUUCUCCCAGCCUUGACUUCUAUUGGUAGGAAGAUAUCGAAGAGUAUCCAAUAUAUGUAAAAAUUUUAAACACACACACCACCAAUAUUAAAAUUUCCUGAGGAAUUAUGACUCAUGUUUGCAAUCUCUAGAACCAAUGGCAGGCAUUGUUGAUAGAGGUUGCUAAAGUUCAUAUAAAUACAUCUAAUAGUUUAAUGAAUCCUCUCCAUGAUCAAGAGCUGAACUUUAAUUAAAUACUCAUUUUCUUUCUAUAUCAUCAAUAGAGGUCACCUACUGGGAGAGCUCUAAAAGGAAACACUAAGUUAAAGGUUAUGAGUUAUCAUGUCAUGAAAAUGAGUCAUAGGCAAAACUUAGAAGGACCAAGAUGAAUAUCAGCCUUGAGUUACUUUUUAAUCUAACUUUCCCAAAUUCUCCCCUAUCCUGUAGUACCCAUUCAUUUUCUUUUCUGCACUCACAUUUCCUCUUCUCUUUAGUAUUCACUUGACAUCAUGCAAUAAACACAAGUUCUUGGUGCACAAAGCCUGGAGGCCCCGAGGAAUCCAUGAUGACAAACGAAACGAAGGCACAAACUUGCCUCCUUUUGCCUUCACUCUUUUGAAGCUUAGUAGGUCGAGUGGGUCCUCUGAUGUUUAUGGUCACCAUCCUAGACCAGGUCGUGAGGUUUUCCCUUGAAUCCAAGCAUGUAGUACAAACACGUGGCUUAAACUUAGGAAAAAGCCCCCAGACGCUAGAGAAGAGUUUGGGUAAAAUGUGACACACUAGAAUAUUAUCAGGUCAGGGACACGAAAGGAGACUUUAAAAAUUUAGAAGAGGAAGGGAUCUGGGAGAAAACAAGCCAAGCAGAACCCCUGAGAUGGAACAGACAGAAAGGAACUCCUUUCAUAAAUUCUUGGAGGCUCCAGUUUGUUAACAUCUAAAAGUGAAUAAAAGGACUUACCAGAAAAAAUAAAUUAGUUUCUUAAAACUACUAAAACUCUUCAAACCUAGAGAUCUACUUUAGUAUUUUCUUUGGUUCCCCAUUUUUUGUAAAGAUGUUAAAAUCUUUUUUUUUUUUUUUUUGUAAAGAUGUUAAAAGCCAAAUGCCAACUGCUGUGGAAUUAUGUAGGAAAAAAAAAAAAAAAAAAAAACAGUGAAAAGAAAGUAGCAAUGGAUGUGAUGAAACUGAAAAGAGCGGAGUUCGUGACACCCUAUUCCCAAAGGUACGCUCCAGACUUACAGCAGGUGCACUGGAGUUGUUUCUAAGUCCCAGGAUUCUGGACCUUGGUUAGGGUGUGUGGCUCUGCCUGAUGGUCUACCUUCUGUCCACAUUGUUCUCUGAACCUGCCUAGUCUUCCCUUGCUCCCUUGCUGAACGAUGCUCUGCAUGUGGCAUUGUCUCCAGGACAGAUUAUAGGUUUGGGGGGCAGGAAAUUCACCUUUCUUCCCUGCCACAUGCUGCUCUUAAUUCUUACUUUUUUGGAUGGCUAAGCUAGCACUCACUGGGGCUUGAGGGGAGUGGGCUGAAAAUGUUCCAAAUGAAUGAAGAAUUGAGUCUAUGUGGUUUUUAUUGGUAUUGGAUCAACUGGUCUAGAUUGAACCGGAAACGUUUUACUGUACGGUGAAUUUUACAAAAUCAUGAUCAUUUAGCUUUAAAAUAAAUGCAUUGAUUAAUCCAGUCAUUACAAAUAUGUGCAAAGAUGGUAUCAGCCUGGUACACUCCCCCUACCAGGAAAGACACAGAUUGAAACAUAGAUGGCAAUGGAUUUCACAUUUUUUUCUAAAUGUAAACAAUUAGAAUCCCCCAAGUGUUUAGCUGCAAGUUGCAUUAACCCAAAGCAAUAAGGAAGAAAGAGUUUCAAGGAGUAAAACCAAAUAGUUUUAAGGAGUAUUACUUAGGAAUACUUCUUUCUUCUACAGCAGAAAAACUGGAUUUUGGUGGUGGGGGUGGGAGGAGUCCUUCUAUAAAUUGCUAAUGAACGCCUCCCCCAACCACCCAAGAAAGA